rnacentral:rRNA from 1 species
UACGGAGGGUGCAAGCGUUAUUCGGAUUGACUGGGCGUAAAGCGCGCGUAGGCGGCUAGCUAAGUCUGAUGUGAAAUCCCUAGACUCAAUCUAGGAAGUGCAUUGGAUACUGGCUGGCUGGAGUAUGGGAGGGGAGAGCGGAAUUCCUGGUGUAGAGGUGAAAUUCGUAGAUAUCAGGAGGAACAACAGAGGCGAAGGCGGCUCUCUGGACCAUAACUGACGCUGAGGCGCGAAAGCGUGGGGAGCAAACAGG